rnacentral:rRNA from 1 species
UACGAAGGGUGCAAACGUUGCUCGGAAUCAUUGGGCGUAAAGCGCACGUAGGCGGCCUCAUAAGUCGGAUGUGAAAUCCCUCGGCUCAACCGAGGACGUGCAUCCGAAACUGUGAAGCUCGAGUAUGGAAGAGGGUCGCGGAAUUCCCGGUGUAGAGGUGAAGUUCGUAGAUAUCGGGAGGAACACCAGUGGCGAAGGCGGCGACCUGGGCCAAUACUGACGCUGAGGUGCGAAAGCGUGGGGAGCAAACAGG